rnacentral:rRNA from 1 species
GACGAACCGUGCGAACGUUAUUCGGAAUCACUGGGCUUAAAGCGCGUGUAGGCGGCCCGGUACGUCUCCUGCUGAAAUCCCCCGGCUCAACCGGGGAACGGGCGGGGAUACGGCCGGGCUGGAGGGGGGGUAGGGGGGGACGGGAACUCAGCGGUGGAGCGGUGAAAUGCGUUGAGAUCGUGAGGAACGCCCGCGGCGAAAGCGCGUCCCUGGACCCCGCCUGACGCUGAGACGCGAAAGCCAGGGGAGCGAACGGG